AACGAACGCUGGCGGCAGGCCUAACACAUGCAAGUCGAGCGAGACCUUCGGGUCUAGCGGCGGACGGGUGAGUAACGCGUGGGAACGUGCCCUUUGGUUCGGAAUAGCCCCGGGAAACUGGGAGUAAUACCGGAUAAGCCCUACGGGGGAAAGAUUUAUCGCCAAAGGAUCGGCCCGCGUUGGAUUAGGUAGUUGGUGGGGUAAUGGCCUACCAAGCCGACGAUCCAUAGCUGGUUUGAGAGGAUGAUCAGCCACACUGGGACUGAGACACGGCCCAGACUCCUACGGGAGGCAGCAGUGGGGAAUCUUAGACAAUGGGGGAAACCCUGAUCUAGCCAUGCCGCGUGAGCGAUGAAGGCCUUAGGGUUGUAAAGCUCUUUCAGUGGGGAAGAUAAUGACUGUACCCACAGAAGAAGCCCCGGCUAACUCCGUGCCAGCAGCCGCCGUAAAAC
rnacentral:rRNA from 1 species